AGCGAACGCUGGCGGCAGGCCUAACACAUGCAAGUCGAACGGAGUGGCGGACGGGUGAGUAACACGUGGGAACGUGCCCUUUGGUUCGGAACAACUCAGGGAAACUUGAGCUAAUACCGGAUGCCAUUGGAGCGGCGCGCGUCUGAUUAGCUAGUUGGUGUGGUAAAGGCUCACCAAGGCGACGAUCAGUAGCUGGUCUGAGAGGAUGAUCAGCCACAUUGGGACUGAGACACGGCCCAAACUCCUACGGGAUGGAGCAAUGGGGAAUCUUGCGCAGUGGGCGAAAGGCUGACGCAGCCAUGCCGGGUGAAUGAUGAAGGUCUUAGGAUUGUAAAAUUCUUUCACCGGGGACGCGGUACCCGGAGAAGAAGCCCCGGCUAACUUCGUGCCAGCAGCCGCGGUAAUUC
rnacentral:rRNA from 1 species